rnacentral:rRNA from 1 species
AUACGGAGGAUCCGAGCGUUAUCCGGAUUUAUUGGGUUUAAAGGGAGCGUAGGCGGGAUAUCAAGUCAGCUGUGAAAUGUAGAUGCUCAACAUCUGCACUGCAGUUGAAACUGGUGUUCCUGAGUGCGUAAGAGGUAGGCGGAAUUCGUCGUGUAGCGGUGAAAUGCAUAGAUAUGACGAAGAACUCCGAUUGCGAAGGCAGCUUACUGGGCCGCAACUGACGCUGAAGCUACGAAGGUGGCGGGUAUAC